rnacentral:rRNA from 2 species
UACGUAGGUGGCAAGCGUUGUCCGGAAUUACUGGGUGUAAAGGGAGCGUAGGCGGGAUGCCAAGUCAGCUGUGAAAACUAUGGGCUUAACUUGUAGACUGCAGUUGAAACUGGUAUUCUUGAGUGAAGUAGAGGUUGGCGGAAUUCCGAGUGUAGCGGUGAAAUGCGUAGAUAUUCGGAGGAACACCGGUGGCGAAGGCGGCCAACUGGGCUUUAACUGACGCUGAGGCUCGAAAGUGUGGGGAGCAAACAGG